rnacentral:rRNA from 1 species
GAUGAACGCUGGCGGCGUGCCUAAUACAUGCAAGUCGAGCGAAUGGAUUAAGAGCUUGCUCUUAUGAAGUUAGCGGCGGACGGGUGAGUAACACGUGGGUAACCUGCCCAUAAGACUGGGAUAACUCCGGGAAACCGGGGCUAAUACCGGAUAACAUUUUGAACCGCAUGGUUCGAAAUUGAAAGGCGGCUUCGGCUGUCACUUAUGGAUGGACCCGCGUCGCAUUAGCUAGUUGGUGAGGUAACGGCUCACCAAGGCAACGAUGCGUAGCCGACCUGAUGGGGUGAUCGGCGACACUGGGACUGAGCCACGGCCCAGACUCCUACGGGAGGCAGCAGUAGGGAAGCUUCCGCAAUGGACGAAAGUCUGACGGAGCAACGCCGCGUGAGUGAGGAAGGCUUUCGGGUCGUAAAACUCUGUUGUUAGGGAAGAACAAGUGCUAGUUGAAUAAGCUGGCACCUUGACGGUACCUAACCAGAAAGCCACGGCUAACUACGUGCCAGCCGCCGCGGUAA